rfam:Salmo salar isolate Sally breed double haploid chromosome ssa01, whole genome shotgun sequence.
AUAUGUAAAAUAUGACUAAGACGCUUUGGAUAAAAGCGUCUGCUAAAUGUCAGAUA